rnacentral:rRNA from 1 species
GGAUAUGAGCCUUGAUCGCAUGAUCGGGGCUGGAAAGUUUUUCGGUUGAAGAUGAUCUCGCGGCCUAUCAGCUUGUUGGUGAGGUAAAUGGCUCACCAAGGCGACGACGGGUAGCCGGCCUGAGAGGGCGACCGGCCACACUGGGACUGAGACACGGCCCAGACUCCUACGGGAGGCAGCAGUGGGGAAUAUUGGGCAAUGGAGGAAACUCUGACCCAGCGACGCCGCGUGAGGGAUGAAGGCCUUCGGGUUGUAAACCUCUUUCAGUAGGGAAGAAGCGAAAGUGACGGUACCUACAGAAGAAGCACCGGCUAACUAUGUG